AAAAAAAAAAGGAAAACACUUAUCUUCUUCAAGGUUGCCGUCACUCACCUCUCUCUCCCUCACCCUCACUUUCCUCCACUAAAGCUCAUUUUGAGCUUGAAGAACCACUUGAUCUAGCCAUAAAUCCCAUAGUUCUCUUAAUUAAACUUGGUCUUUUAGUCUUGAAAAGAAGCUUGAGCAAGAAAGAAAGAAGAAUAGAAGAAGGUAAUUGAAGUUUUGGAAAUCCAAAGUAAGGUUAGUAAGCAAACUUAACACUUUUAGUUUGAUUCUUACAUUUUUAACUUAUUGAACUUGGAAAUAAACUUUAAAUGAAAAAAUUUUUUUGUUGAGGGAUCAUAUGUAGAUUCGGCCAGCUUGAUAGGGUGUUGGAUUUGAUAGUAUUUAGUUAAACUAAACAUGAAUUAGAGCUUAAAUAAGGUUGAAUAUGUGAUUAGUGUAAUGAUUUGAUUAAGGAAUUGAUCAAUGGCAUGAACUAGGGUUUUGGCAUCUAGGUUUUGGAGACAAAAAUGUGGGAAUGUGUUAAAUGGUGUGUUGGACUUGGUUUGAGGUGAGAAAUGGUCAUUUUUGACCAAAUGAAGUGUGUUGGAAG
rnacentral:misc_RNA from 1 species